AUCGAUCAAUAGAUACGAUGUAGAAAGUCCGCGAAGAAACAUCAAUAAUCAUGAUUUUUAUUAUAUGUACAUUUAAAUUAGCGCUCAUUCAGAUGUCUAAAACGCACGAUUCUUAGAUGACAAAAUGCACACGCGUUAGAAAUAGAAAGGACUAGAUUUUUCUUAGAAACAAUCUGGUCGAAGCGGCUGGCGUAGGCCUUUCCUCGGCCUUUAAGGGAACAAUGAAUCUUCGAUAAAUCGUUCGAUAAAUUUUUCUAUCUAUUCCGAGUGACGAGUGAGAAGGACGUAAAGAAUUUCCUCUCUCUCUCUCUCUCAUAAGACUGAAACGAACGUUAAGAGAGCGGUCGAGAUGGACCGAGCAUAAAUCCUGAUCCACUUCGACCCGAGUCGUCUGGCUAUAACACGUUCGUUCCGACGCUCGUAAUUCAUGGCAUUCGAAUACUCUCACGGAUAUCCGUCUUCCACGUAGUACAAACUGCAGUUUAAACAGCAAUCGUCCAUGCAGAUGGUUGGGGAAUUAAAAUAGCGGCGGGAGAUACAGAAAUUACGAGUACAAUAGAAUAAGUGAUAAUAUCGCAGUACACUGAUAUUAUUCGCAGAUAUUUUCGUAACAAACAAAAUUAUCUUUCUAACUGACAAACAAAUACCGUAAUUAAUUAGAAAUAUUCUAAUAAUGACAAUGUAACACGCACAUCUCUCGGUUCUUUAUUUAUCCGACUCGAAAUCGAUACUUGCACCGUGAAUUUGCUAUUUUAGAGCACUUCGUAUGCCCUCCAUGAAUAAUUCGAGACAAAAGAAUUUCAUAUAGAUAUUAAAUAUUCUAAAAGAAAACACGCACACACAGAAAUUUGAAAACUUUAGCCAUUUUAUACCUGAAAAGAUGUACGCACAAGAGAAAUAUAAUUUUGCACACAUUAUUACUAUCGUAGAAAUCAAUUCGUAGAGACGAAAAUAAUUAGUACUGCUGUUACGAUUAUAGUACAUGGAUAUUUUAUUGUCGGCGUUGGAUUUGUAUUAUCAAGAGAAACUAAUUUUACAUCGGGUUCAGGAAGGUGAUCAGGAUUCAAAUCGAUGGACGAAUGUCUGUCGCAGAUACUCGUGUAAUUUUCAGGGCUAGAUAGAGAGACAAAAGAAAAUGAAGACGCGUUCGAAGUAGAAGAUACAACAGUACAACGGUUGAUCAUAUCAUUAAGCCUUAAAUCCGUCGAGAAGAGUGCUGUCCGAACUCUGAUAAAAGAGAGAUAAAGGGGAUCAAAAGAUCGAUUACGAUCAAAAGCGCGAUCUCGAAACUAGAAGCGACCUACUCGAGUCUCUUUUGAUGCUUAACUUACAGAUGUGAUGAUGAGAGGAUCACAGAUGCGAACGAACAAAUUGAGACGUGAUCACGUACGGGUACGCGUGUGUGUAUGUAUGCAAGUGUAUGUGUGUGGCCUUGUACAUGAGACGAGAGAAAAAAAAAAAGAUACGGAGAAAGGAGGGAAAGUCUAAGGAGAUCGGAAAUAUGUACAAGCGUUUAUAGGUAAUACGUGUUUCGUGCUAGAAGCUUUGAUAUAUCGAUUAUCGCCGUUGCGAAUUAUAGUUAUCCGGUCGGUGCGCAGUCGAUUUUUUGUAAGAUAUAGUUUCUCUAAGGCGGUUGUAAAUAAAUGGAGGAGAAUAUACAAUAAAAGAGCGAAAUUCUCUCGGUGUUUAGCGCUAGUUGUGUCGACAUGUUUCUUCCUAUAGCAUAUAUAUAUAUAUAUAAUAUAUAUAUAUACACAUAUUUAUAUAUACAAGAUAUAAAUAUAUUUAUUAUUACGUUGUUCUAUUAUAAUAUUUAUUGUAAUAUCUGACAUAUAUAUAUAUAGAAUUUACGCGCGACAUGUUACGUUUAUUGAAAGUCCCAAAGACUCAUGCCGAGAUCUCAUGUUUCUUCUCUCUCCUUCACUUCUUUGCCUAUGACUCCUAAAUAGAGCAGCUAGAAUAUCACGAAACAAGUGAUAGGUACAAGACGAAUAUUUAAAUAACAAAACAAAACUUUAAAGAAUAUUAAAUGAUUGUUUAGAUUUAACUGUUGGAGAGUUUAAUUAUUUAAAUACCAAUUUACAUUUCACUUCCAAUGUCGCAAGAGUAAAUCUCUUGCUGGAAAUUCGUCCUAUUCUUCCGGAUAGAUUUCUCUCGUGCACAUCGUUGACGCAUUUACGGAUCUCGGUAUAAGUCUUCUCCGUAAAAAGACGAAAAUCAGGGCGAAAUUACGAAAGAACGCAAUUCGCAUUCGCGAGUGAUAUAAGAGGAAAACGAGUAGAGGAAAGGGAUUCUCUCUUUACUAUAUCACAUUUCUAAACUGUACUUUUUCUAUGUCCGCAUAAUCUAGUUCCUACGCAAUGUUUGUACUCUUAUACCCUUUGUACUAUUUGUACCUUACGAAUUGCAAUACACUCGUCCGCAAUAAA